AGCAGUCGCCGCGGUAAUACGAAGGGGGCUAGCGUUGCUCGGAAUUACUGGGCGUAAAGGGCGCGUAGGCGGAUGUUUAAGUCAGAGGUGAAAGCCCAGGGCUCAACCUUGGAACUGCCUUUGAUACUGGACAUCUUGAGUGUGGGAGAGGUGAGUGGAACUCCGAGUGUAGAGGUGAAAUUCGUAGAUAUUCGGAAGAACACCAGUGGCGAAGGCGACUCACUGGCCCAUUACUGACGCUGAGGCGCGAAAGCGUGGGGAGCAAACAGGAUUAGAUACCCCGGUAGUCCCUGUCUCUUAUAC
rnacentral:rRNA from 1 species